GACGAACGCUGGCGGCGUGCUUAACACAUGCAAGUCACGGGGGCCCAGCAAUGGGCAACCGGCGAACGGGUGCGUAACACGUGAACAACCUGCCCUCGUGUGGGGGGAUAGCCAUGCUAACGCGUGGGUAAUACCGCAUACGUUCCUCUGGGGGGAGUCCCUGGGGGAGGAAAAGCUCCGGCGCACGGGGGAGGGGUUCGCGGCCUAUCAGCUAGGUUGGGGGGUAACGGCCUCCCAAGGCGACGACGGGGUAGCUGGUCUGAGAGGAUGGCCAGCCACAUUGGGACUGAGAGACGGCCCAGACUCCGUACGGGAGGCAGCAGGUGGGGAAUCUUGCGCAAUGGCCGAAAGGCUGACGCAGCGACGCCGCGUGUGGGAGGACG
rnacentral:rRNA from 1 species